UACAGAGGUCUCAAGCGUUGUUCGGAUUCAUUGGGCGUAAAGGGUGCGUAGGUGGCGCCGUAAGUCGGGUGUGAAAUUUCGGAGCUUAACUCCGAAACUGCAUUCGAUACUGCGGUGCUUGAGGACUGGAGAGGAGACUGGAAUUCAAGGUGUAGCAGUGAAAUGCGUAGAUAUCAAGUGGAACACCAGUGGCGAAGGCGAGUCCCUGGACAACUCCUGACACUGAGGCACGAAAGCCAGGGGAGCAAACAGG
rnacentral:rRNA from 1 species